UACGGGGGGGGCAAGCGUUGUUCGGAAUUACUGGGCGUAAAGGGUUCGUAGGUGGCUCGCUAGGUCAGACGUGAAAUCCCUCAGCUUAACUGGGGAACUGCGUCUGAGACUGGCAAGCUUGAGUGCAGGAGAGGAACGCGGAAUUCCAGGUGUAGCGGUGAAAUGCGUAGAUAUCUGGAGGAACACCGGUGGCGAAGGCGGCGUUCUGGACUGCAACUGACACUGAAGAACGAAAGCCAGGGGAGCAAACGGG
rnacentral:rRNA from 1 species